rnacentral:rRNA from 1 species
AACCCCUCGAGAGUGGCGAACGGGUGAGUAAUAUAUCGGAACGUGCCCAGUCGUGGGGGAUAACGUAGCGAAAGUUACGCUAAUACCGCAUACGAUCUACGGAUGAAAGCGGGGGAUCGCAAGACCUCGCGCGAUUGGAGCGGCCGAUAUCAGAUUAGGUAGUUGGUGGGGUAAAGGCUCACCAAGCCAACGAUCUGUAGCUGGUCUGAGAGGACGACCAGCCACACUGGAACUGAGACACGGUCCAGACUCCUACGGGAGGCAGCAGUGGGGAAUUUUGGACAAUGGACGCAAGUCUGAUCCAGCCAUUCCGCGUGCAGGAUGAAGGCCCUCGGGUUGUAAACUGCUUUUGUACGGAACGAAAAGGUCUCUCUUAAUACGGGGGGCUCAUGACGGUACCGUAAGAAUAAGCACCGGCUAACUACGUGCCAGCAGCCGCGGUAAUACGUAGGGUGCAAGCGUUAAUCGGAAUUACUGGGCGUAAAGCGUGCGCAGGCGGUUAUAUAAGACAGAUGUGAAAUCCCCGGGCUCAACCUGGGAACUGCAUUUGUGACUGUAUAGCUAGAGUACGGUAGAGGGGGAUGGAAUUCCGCGUGUAGCAGUGAAAUGCGUAGAUAUGCGGAGGAACACCGAUGGCGAAGGCAAUCCCCUGGACCUGUACUGACGCUCAUGCACGAAGCGUGGGGAGCAAACAGGAUUA